rnacentral:ncRNA from 2 species
UCACGAGAUAGAGGUGCGCUUUUAAUUAUUAAACAGCAUGAGGUAGUGCCUGCCGAUGAGUACUGUUGAAAGGUAAAAGCGCCGAAGGGAGAAAAAUAGCACUGUUUUUCUCGCCUGGUUCAUGUAUGAAUAAUACCUGGACUGUCAUCUUUCGAGAUGGAGAGCUAUCCAUGAA